UACGUAGGGGGCGAGCGUUGUCCGGAGUUACUGGGCGUAAAGGGCGUGCAGGCGGUGCAGUAAGUUUGGAGUGACAGUACCCGGCUUCACUGGGUAAGGACUUUGAAAACUGCUGGACUUGAGGGCCAGAGAGGGACAUAGAAUUCCGGGUGGAGUGGUGAAAUGCGUAGAUAUCCGGAGGAAUACCAAAGGCGAAGGCAGUGUCC
rnacentral:rRNA from 1 species